AGGGUGUGUCGGGCGAUCGCUCUGUGAAAAUCCACAGGGAGGAAAGUCCGGGCAGGAUAGGGCGCGGUGGUGGCUAACGACCACCGGGAGUAAUCCCAGGGAAAGUGCCGCAGAAACGAUACCGCCGAUUCGUCGGUAAGGGUGAAAUGGUGCGGUAAGAGCGCACCGCGGUGUUGGUGACAGCACUGGCAGGGUAAACCCCACCGCCUGCAAGACCAAGCAGCUGAGCGGGCCUUCGGGCCUCGUACCCGGCCCGGGUAUCAACAGCGGGUAGGUUGCUUUGCGCAUCGGCGCAAGAGCCGGCUGGCAACAGUCGGUCCAGAUAAAUGAUCGCCGCCCGCCGGCACCUUGGUGAUGGCGGGAACAGAACCCGGCUUACAGACACACCCUCUUG
rnacentral:RNase_P_RNA from 1 species